rnacentral:rRNA from 2 species
GCACUGAUGAUUUGGUCGCUAACGAGUGGCGGACGGGUGAGUAACACGUAGGUAACCUGCCCAGAAGCGGGGGACAACAUUUGGAAACAGAUGCUAAUACCGCAUAACAACGUUGUUCGCAUGAACAACGCUUAAAAGAUGGCUUCUCGCUAUCACUUCUGGAUGGACUGCGGUGCAUUAGCUUGUUGGUGGGGUAAUGGCCUACCAAGGGCGAUGAUGCAUAGCCGAGUUGAGAGACUGAUCGGCCACAAUGGGACUGAGACACGGCCCAUACUCCUACGGGAGGCAGCAGUAGGGAAUCUUCCACAAUGGGCGCAAGCCUGAUGGAGCAACACCGCGUGAGUGAAGAAGGGUUUCGGCUCGUAAAGCUCUGUUGUUAAAGAAGAACACGUAUGAGAGUAACUGUUCAUACGUUGACGGUAUUUAACCAGAAAGUCACGGCUAACUACGUGCCAGCAGCCGCGGUAAUACGUAGGUGGCAAGCGUUAUCCGGAUUUAUUGGGCGUAAAGAGAGUGCAGGCGGUUUUCUAAGUCUGAUGUGAAAGCCUUCGGCUUAACCGGAGAAGUGCAUCGGAAACUGGAUAACUUGAGUGCAGAAGAGGGUAGUGGAACUCCAUGUGUAGCGGUGGAAUGCGUAGAUAUAUGGAAGAACACCAGUGGCGAAGGCGGCUACCUGGUCUGCAACUGACGCUGAGACUCGAAAGCAUGGGUAGCGAACAGGAUUAGAUACCCUGGUAGUCCAUGCCGUAAACGAUGAGUGCUAGGUGUUGGAGGGUUUCCGCCCUUCAGUGCCGGAGCUAACGCAUUAAGCACUCCGCCUGGGGAGUACGACCGCAAGGUUGAAACUCAAAGGAAUUGACGGGGGCCCGCACAAGCGGUGGAGCAUGUGGUUUAAUUCGAAGCUACGCGAAGAACCUUACCAGGUCUUGACAUCUUGCGCCAACCCUAGAGAUAGGGCGUUUCCUUCGGGAACGCAAUGACAGGUGGUGCAUGGUCGUCGU